rnacentral:rRNA from 1 species
AGAACGAACGCUGGCGGCAUGCCUAAUACAUGCAAGUCGAACGAACACUUCGGUGUUAGUGGCGCACGGGUGCGUAACGCGUGGGAAUCUGCCCUUGGGUUCGGAAUAACAGUUGGAAACGACUGCUAAUACCGGAUGAUAUCGAAAGAUCAAAGAUUUAUCGCCCAGGGAUGAGCCCGCGUAGGAUUAGCUAGUUGGUGAGGUAAAGGCUCACCAAGGCGACGUAUCCUUAGCUGGUCUGAGAGGAUGAUCAGCCACACGUGGGACUGAGACACGGCCCAGACUCCGUACGGGAGGCAGCGAGUAGGGAAUA